GAGUUUGAUCAUGGCUCAGGACAAACGCUGGCGGCGUGCUUAACACAUGCAAGUCGAACGAUGAAACGGAACGGAAAUUUUCGGAUGGAAGUUCUGUGGAUUAGUGGCGGACGGGUGAGUAAUGCAUGAAGAACCUGCCUUUCACAUAGGAAUAGCCUCGGGAAACCGGGAUUAAUACCAAAUGACACUCCGAGAUCGCAUGUUUUUGGGGUUAAAGAUUUUAUCGGUGAAAGAUGGCUCCAUGUCCCAUUAGCUGGUUGGUGAGGUAACGGCUCACCAAGGCGACGAUGGGUAGCCGGCCUGAGAGGGUGAACGGCCACAUUGGAACUGAGACACGGUCCAAACUCCUACGGGAGGCAGCAGUGGGGAAUAUUGCACAAUGGAGGAAACUCUGAUGCAGCGACGCCGCGUGAGCGAUGAAGGUCUUCGGAUCGUAAAGCUCUGUCCUAAGGGACGAUAAGGACG
rnacentral:rRNA from 1 species